rnacentral:piRNA from 1 species
UGAUCUUUAUAAAUCUUAAUGGUAUCCACAGC